rnacentral:snoRNA from 1 species
AAUGAAUGAUGACAACAUGUUUCGGUCCCAUAUGACACUGAAUGAUUAUACUCUUUUUACUUUCUGACAUU